UUCCAUCUCGCCGAGCAAUGCUCUCUCGUGUCAUCAAGGUACAGGACGUACAUGUAUGGCGUCGCUCGCGGUUACAUCCCAAUGACGCGUAGGAAUGGCUGUAUAAAAUGGAGGAGCCAUCGCAGUGAACACCAUUCGUCCCUUACAAGUCGCACAGCAAACCACCAUCUCCGAAAGGAAUAGUUCUUAAGUAACUUUACGUCGAUUUUAAAACUUUAAACAUGAAGUUCGGAUUCGUUGUGGUUUUAACAGUUUUAUUAAUAAUAGGCAUUACAGAGUCAGUGCCAGUGAAACGGGAUGCUGACGACAGGGCCUACCAACUUCUCAAACGGUUCCUCGCCAAACGUGUUCUCGAACAACAGUCUGCCGAAGCAAUGGACCAACCAGCCCAGAAACGCCAAUUAUGUGGUGAAUUAGGCGGCUUUUCCGUUCACUGUUUCUAAACCGAGUUUUAUCGGAGAAAUCUAAAGACGGGUUUCCGUAAGAGCCUUGAUGAUGAGGAGUUUCAAUGAAGGACUGUUUGUAAAUACCGGGACUGCAUGGCGGCUACGCGGAAAGUCAUGGCGUUCUCACAAGAAGAUUUCACUGGCGAGAACGAAUUUGUUACAAAAUUCUAGUCGUUUUUAGGAAACCUGUGACACAGCAAUAGACUAUUUGACAUUUCGUUCAAACCAAUCGCGGGGUCCACAAUAUUCUUUUGGACGAUCACUGUUUACUUGAGUAAAUGGAAACUGAUGACGUCGAAGAACUUUUUCGCUCUUACUCGGACUUAACUAUUUCAACGCAUCUGAUAAUGGAUGCUUGACUAAAUUAGGAUAGCAUGUCGGUCAGUUUUAGCCCUUCGCCAGUCCCGAGUAGGGUGGAACAUACAGCGAGUGAAUCCAGCGUUCGCACUAAAAUAAUUACCGGUACAAAACGUCACAAAUUUAACUUCUCAUCUUAAAAAAAUAUCAGCAUACAUCUUUUAAGAUAUCACAGUGUUCAAAAUUUUUUCAUUCCAAACUUUGAUUUAACUGGUCAAUAUUAGACCAUAUUGUCCAUGCUGAAAACUCGUAAUGCCGAUGGAUGUGGAUAUUUCCCGACCAAAUAUUUGUUUGCUAGCUCUAUUGUUUUCGAGUUGUAGCGUAUUGUAAUGAAACCUGUGUAUCAAUUCUCUCAUUAUGUUGUUUACACCCUCGACAAAAUGGAACAUUUGUAUAGCUUCAAGGACGUAGGUUUUCUCAUUCUCAGUAUCGUUGAUCGACUAUUAACAAUUAGUAUGCCUUCGGCAAUAAAUUCCAUUGCACAUUUCCACGGGAAUGAACAUUUGAAUUUAUUCAUCUCUUCUUACCUGCGCAAUCAAAGUUUUGCAGAGAAAAUUCGUCCAAAGUUCAGUCGACUUUUUGUGUCUUUUGCUUACCAAUACCGCCAUAAUAAAUGUGAACUCCUUUGAACCUUUUUAUCAUCAGAAA